CCCAUCCUGAACCCUCCUCCCUCCUCCCUCCUCCCUCCUCCCUCCCCAUACCAUCCCUCUGGAUCAUCCCAGUGCACCAGGCCCAAGCAUCCAGUAUCGUGCAUCGAACCUGGACUGGCGACUUGAGAGAAAGAUUUGAUGGGAGUGAUAUAUAAACUAGUUUCAGAGGAAAGAACAUGCCCACCAAGUACGCAAAGUGUUGGGAGCAGGAGAGGGCCAGUGAGAGAAGAGCAAAGAAAGGCAGGAUUCUUAUCAGAAAAACCAAGAUGCUGAGGAGUAAAAGAGUACCAAGUGGGAGAGAGAGCAGGCAGAAAGUACCAAGAGCUGGGCAGAAGCCAGGCAAAAGAGUUUGAAGCAUUUCUUCUGAGUCCUAGGAGAGCUGUUAAAGACUCUGUGUUGAACAGGACAGGAUCACCUCCACACGUGUUCAGAAUCAUUCUCAGCUGCUGUGUGGAGGUCAAAGGGGGAAUUGCAAGGAUGGGAGAUAAGGUUCCCUUGGCCAGAAUCUAGAAUUGACAUCAUGAGAGCCCGAGAUAAGUGUGUAGAAACCAGCAUGAUGGCCUCAGUCAGAAGUCACAGAAUAAAGUUGUAGAUCACACCAAAGCCUUCACUGUUCUAAAGACCUUCUCUAGCAGAAAGAAGAUACUUGGCCAGUGUACGGACUGUGAAAGUGCUGAGAAAGAUAAUGUCCCAGGAGCAACCCUCGAUGAGGGAUGGGAGUUGGUGGAAGAUACUUCAGAUCUGUCACCUCCAGGCAGACUUUUCUGAGGUCAAAGGACACCAAUGGACGUGAGCUCCAGCUGCCCAUAUGGUAGGCUGGACAUAAAAAAACUGAAUAAUACAGAAUCUGCCCAGUACACACCAGUCAAUAAAUGAUUUCUCAACAAUGAACACAUUUAUCUUUUGAAAAAUACUCCUAAAAAUUCCAUUUCACAAUCAGUCUGGUCCACAGGAAUGUUUUCUCCCACAGUUAUUUCUGGUUUUAUUGCACAGUUAAAUACCUGAAUGAAUGUUCUAUUGAUCAGUUUAGGCAUGGAAAUUUGAUCUCUGCUUUUGUAUUAGAUUGAGUCUAUUAAAAUGUCUUGACUUUGGUA